rnacentral:tRNA from 1 species
GGAGAGAUGGCUCAGUGGUUAAGAGCACUGACUGCUCUUCCAGAGGUCUUGAGUUCAAUUCCCAGCAACCACA